rnacentral:rRNA from 1 species
AGAAUCUUUCGCAAUGCCCGAAAGGGUGACGAAGCGACGCCGCGUGUGGGAAGAAGGCCUUCGGGUUGUGAACCACUGUCGGGAGUUAAGAAAUGUAAGGGUGUGAAUAGCAUUCUUAUUUGACAAAAGCUCUAGAGGAAGCCACGGCUAACUCUGUGCCAGCAGCCGCGGUAAUACAGAGGUGGCAAGCGUUGUUCGGAAUUAUUGGGCGUAAAGAGCACGUAGGCGGCCUUGCAAGUCAGCUGUGAAAGCCUUCUGCUUAACGGAAGAACAGCAGUUGAUACUACAGGGCUUGAGUGCGGUAGGGGAGAGUGGAACUUCUGGUGGAGCGGUGAAAUGCGUAGAUAUCAGAAGGAACGCCGGCGGCGAAAGCGGCUCUCUGGCCCGUAACUGACGCUGAGUGUGCGAAAGCUAGGGGAGCAAACGGGAUUAGAUACCCCGGUAGUCCUAGCCGUAAACGAUGGGCACUAAGUAGAGGGGUUUUGAUUAUCUCUCUGCCGGAGCUAACGCAUUAAGUGCCCCGCCUAGGGAGUACGGCCGCAAGGCUAAAACUCAAAAGAAUUGACGGGGGCUCGCACAAGCGGUGGAGCAUGUGGCUUAAUUCGAUGCAACGCGAAGAACCUUACCGGGGUUUGACAUGGUAGAAGUAGAAACCUGAAAGGGUGACGAACGGUAUCCAGUCCGUAACUAUCACAGGUGUUGCAUGGCUG